rnacentral:rRNA from 1 species
GUGGGGAAUAUUGGACAAUGGGCGAAAGCCUGAUCCAGCCAUGCCGCGUGUGUGAAGAAGGUCUUCGGAUUGUAAAGCACUUUAAGUUGGGAGGAAGGGCAGUAAGUUAAUACCUUGCUGUUUUGACGUUACCGACAGAAUAAGCACCGGCUAACUUCGUUCCAGCAGCCGCGGUAAUACGAAGGGUGCAAGCGUUAAUCGGAAUUACUGGGAGUAAAGCGCGCGUAGGUGGGUUUGUAAGUUGGAGGUGAAAUCCCCGGGCUCAACCUGGGAACUGCUUUCAAAACUGCUGAGCUAGAGUACGGUAGAGGGUGGUGGAAUUACCGGUGUAGCGGUGAAAUGCGUAGAUAUAGGAAGGAACACCAGUGGCGAAGGCGACCACCUGGACUGAUACUGACACUGAGGUGCGAAAGCGUGGGGAGCAAACAGGAUUAGAAACCCUGGUAGUCC